rnacentral:rRNA from 1 species
AACGCGAAGAACCUUACCUGGGCUCGAACGGCUUUGGAUCGACGGUGGAAACACUGUUUUCCCGCAAGGGACCGGAGUCGAGGUGCUGCAUGGCUGUCGUCAGCUCGUGUCGUGAGAUGUUGGGUUAAGUCCCGCAACGAGCGCAACCCUUGUCCUGUGUUGCCACUCCCCUUAAAAGGAAGCACUCGCAGGAGACCGCCAGCGAUAAGCUGGAGGAAGGUGGGGAUGAUGUCAAGUCAUCAUGGCCUUUAUGUCCAGGGCUACACACGUGCUACAAUGGACGGUACAAAGCGCUGCGAACCCGCGAGGGGAAGCUAAUCGCAAAAAACCGUUCUCAGUUCGGAUCGCAGGCUGCAACUCGCCUGCGUGAAGCUGGAAUCGCUAGUAAUGGUGUAUCAGAACGAUACCGUGAAUACGUUCCCGGGCCUUGUA